ACAGACAAUCACGAAGAAGUGUUUUGUUGUCAUGGCGGUGUUUUGAACUAAACUGCCUGACAUUUCCCAUAAACACGUCUUGAUUUUAGCUUCUGUUUACCAACUGCCUGUCAUGUUAAAAUAUAAUAACACGGAUUUACUUGUCGGUUGUCAGUUUACUGUGUGUUUUCGUGUGAUAAAUCAAUUGCUUUUUGCAGUCGAUCGGAUCAGUAAGUAGAGAAUUAUUUGCUCUGGGAAAGACUAACGUUACUCAAGCCGGAUUGUUUGAAUUUAUUACUUCCAUCAAGACAGUUCGUAAAAAUAUUAUCAGGAUGAUUUCAGAUUUCCAAAAAGGGUCUGCUGUGACCAUUGGUGAACUGAGCUAUGUGAGUCGUGAAUGGAUUAAAAAAGGCUCCUCUGGGUCUGCAAACACAGGUACUGAUACAAGAUCAUAUUUUAUAUGUAUUCUCCUAUAUAAUGUAUUGCUGCAUGCUGUAUUCUUAUGCAUUUGAUAAAACUUGAAUUUGGUUGUCCAAGCUUCUCCUUCAUUCUUAUUGGUUCUGAUUCUUCUCAUCAGAGCUCCAGUUCAAUAACAGAGUGACACCCAGUGUUCUUAACCGAGCCUUCUCCCAUCAUAAUAGAGAAAUGUAUACCCCGUACUGAGAGGCAGGAUGAUCUGGAGAGCUGCAGCAGGUCCGCAGCAGACUGACAGGAAAAUCCCACAGGACCUCACAAGAAUUGGUGAAGGAGCGCAGCGAAGUUCUGAGGGCAGGGCUAGAGAACCUCUUACAUCAUCAAAAACUGAGAGAGGCAGAAGCACAGAAACCCAACAAAACUACCAGUGCCAUCAACCCAGACCAUCAGGCCGGUCAUGUUUGUGAUGCCAGCUUCCAGCAGGCCACUGUCUCAUCCCAACUGAGGGAAAACCAGGUACCUCAAAAAGAGGCCACUGUGCCUUGGAUACAAACAUCCCCUCGCUCUCCUCCUCGCCCACAAGCACUGAAAAGCAGAAGCCACAGACCAGACCCAGUGGCAGCACACAGCUCAGCCCUUCAUCACAUGACAGGAAUCAAGCACAAAAUGAAGCCCUUAGGACCACAGUGCGCUCUCCAACACAGUUGGCGGAAAAAGCUGAGCAGGCCGCUAGAGAGAGGAUUCAACCUUUGUUGGAUCAAGCACAGGUGGUUGGAACAGGAAGUGACACACUCAGAGAGCGGCUGAAGGUUGCAGAUAAGGGCUGUAUCAGACACAUCAAUACUAGAUGAGGACUCUUUAACUUUAAAUGACCCCAGUCAUCCAGGAGAAAGCACACCAGGGGUUUAUCUGACUGUGCCGCCCAGCAUGCAGAGGAGUAUCCAGAAAUACAGGGAGAACCAUGAUGCGCCUGGUCUCGCACAAGUCUCUGGGGAGCUUCAGUCCUUGGACAAUAGCAGACAGGUUUGAAUCUAAUGAUUGCAUUAUUAAUAAAACAUCUCAAUCACCACUAAAAUGUGGGUUA
ensembl:lncRNA